AUCAGGGGUUGCUAAGCGGAAAAGAAUCAGGAGGCCAUAUUGGCGUUUUUUUCUGCCGUUGAUCGCUUGCGAGUGUUGUCAUUGGCUGCGUCGUGUGUCGUCACCGGUCAUGACCCUUUGGGAGGAGCGUAGCGCAGAGAGGCGGAGAAACGAGGCCGGGAAACAGAUUUAAACCAGCGGUUGAGGCGUUGCCUCGGUUUGUCAGCACUGUGAGAGAACUUACUUACGGAAGAAGCCUGGAUGUUAAAACGAGCUUUGAAGCAGCUUUUUUGUCGCACACGAGUGAGGCUGGACGUUUAACACACCUGCGGCGCGAAGGUGUCACCACAUCGUCCACGAUCGCAGAGACAUGGUCCAUGAUCGGAGAGACAUUGUUGAGGAUGAGGGAGACAUCGUCCAUGAUCAGAGACAUUGUCCAUGAUCGCAGAGACCUUGUCAAAGAUGAGAGAGACGUUGUCCGUGAUCAGAGACAUUGUCCCAUGCUUCGUAGAGACCUUGCGAUAGAAUCGGCGGAGACGGGGGUCACCGAUUUGACGGCACUGCCCGCGAUCAUGGGAACAUUGUCGAUGGUCACAGAGACACCGUCUAUGAUCUCAGAGACAUCGUCCACGAUCACAAAGACAUUGACCAUGAUCGCAGAGACUUUGUCCAUAAUCUCAGAGACAUUGUCCGCGAUCAAAGAGACGUAGUCCACGAUCACAGAGAGUCUUUGUACAAUGAAGUUCUUUGAGACCAGGACAGAGGCCUCCAGGUAAUUCACAAACAAUUUUACAUCAACUGUCCAACACAGAGCACUGACAUUAAAGUGUUUAUGUUCAGUAUUCGGUAUAUCAGUAUUUAAUUUUCUGGAACAGCCCUCUAAUGUUUGAAAAGUAUUCUGGUUCAGCUGUAAUGUUGAAUAUUUCUCUGUGUUUUUAUGGUUGAACUGUUGAUGAGAAAUAGAUAGUAGUGUAUUGAUCAUUUUCCUUUGUAUGGUCCUCUUUGAUUUCCUCCAGGUGUCACCACUUUAUCCACAACAUCGUCCACGAUCGCAGAGACUUCGUCCAUGAUCGGAGAGACAUUGUUGAGGAUGAGGGAGACAUCGUCCAUGAUCAGAGACAUUGUCCAUGAUCGCAGAGACCUUGUCAAAGAUGAGAGAGACGUUGUCCGUGAUCAGAGACAUUGUCCCAUGCUUCGUAGAGACCUUGCGAUAGAAUCGGCGGAGACGGGGGUCACCGAUUUGACGGCACUGCCCGCGAUCAUGGAAACAUUUUUGAUGAUCACAGAGACACCGUCUAUGAUCUCAGAGACAUCGUCCACGAUCACAAAGACAUUGACCAUGAUCGCAGAGACUUUGUCCAUAAUCUCAGAGACAUUGUCCGCGAUCAAAGAGACGUAGUCCACGAUCACAGAGAGUCUUUGUACAAUGAAGUUCUUUGAGACCAGGACAGAGGCCUCCAGGUAAUUCACAAACAAUUUUACAUCAACUGUCCAACACAGAGCACUGACAUUAAAGUGUUUAUGUUCAGUAUUCGGUAUAUCAGUAUUUAAUUUUCUGGAACAGCCCUCUAAUGUUUGAAAAGUAUUCUGGUUCAGCUGUAAUGUUGAAUAUUUCUCUGUGUUUUUAUGGUUGAACUGUUGAUGAGAAAUAGAUAGUAGUGUAUUGAUCAUUUUCCUUUGUAUGGUCCUCUUUGAUUUCCUCCAGGUGUCACCACUUUAUCCACAACAUCGUCCACGAUCGCAGAGACUUCGUCCAUGAUCGGAGAGACAUUGUUGAGGAUGAGGGAGACAUCGUCCAUGAUCAGAGACAUUGUCCAUGAUCGCAGAGACCUUGUCAAAGAUGAGAGAGACGUUGUCCGUGAUCAGAGACAUUGUCCCAUGCUUCGUAGAGACCUUGCGAUAGAAUCGGCGGAGACGGGGGUCACCGAUUUGACGGCACUGCCCGCGAUCAUGGAAACAUUUUCGAUGAUCACAGAGACACCGUCUAUGAUCUCAGAGACAUCGUCCACGAUCACAAAGACAUUGACCAUGAUCGCAGAGACUUUGUCCAUAAUCUCAGAGACAUUGUCCGCGAUCAAAGAGACGUAGUCCACGAUCACAGAGAGUCUUUGUACAAUGAAGUUCUUUGAGACCAGGACAGAGGCCUCCAGGUAAUUCACAAACAAUUUUACAUCAACUGUCCAACACAGAGCACUGACAUUAAAGUGUUUAUGUUCAGUAUUCGGUAUAUCAGUAUUUAAUUUUCUGGAACAGCCCUCUAAUGUUUGAAAAGUAUUCUGGUUCAGCUGUAAUGUUGAAUAUUUCUCUGUGUUUUUAUGGUUGAACUGUUGAUGAGAAAUAGAUAGUAGUGUAUUGAUCAUUUUCCUUUGUAUGGUCCUCUUUGAUUUCCUCCAGGUGUCACCACUUUAUCCACAACAUCGUCCACGAUCGCAGAGACUUCGUCCAUGAUCGGAGAGACAUUGUUGAGGAUGAGGGAGACAUCGUCCAUGAUCAGAGACAUUGUCCAUGAUCGCAGAGACCUUGUCAAAGAUGAGAGAGACGUUGUCCGUGAUCAGAGACAUUGUCCCAUGCUUCGUAGAGACCUUGCGAUAGAAUCGGCGGAGACGGGGGUCACCGAUUUGACGGCACUGCCCGCGAUCAUGGAAACAUUUUUGAUGAUCACAGAGACACCGUCUAUGAUCUCAGAGACAUCGUCCACGAUCACAAAGACAUUGACCAUGAUCGCAGAGACUUUGUCCAUAAUCUCAGAGACAUUGUCCGCGAUCAAAGAGACGUAGUCCACGAUCACAGAGAGUCUUUGUACAAUGAAGUUCUUUGAGACCAGGACAGAGGCCUCCAGGUAAUUCACAAACAAUUUUACAUCAACUGUCCAACACAGAGCACUGACAUUAAAGUGUUUAUGUUCAGUAUUCGGUAUAUCAGUAUUUAAUUUUCUGGAACAGCCCUCUAAUGUUUGAAAAGUAUUCUGGUUCAGCUGUAAUGUUGAAUAUUUCUCUGUGUUUUUAUGGUUGAACUGUUGAUGAGAAAUAGAUAGUAGUGUAUUGAUCAUUUUCCUUUGUAUGGUCCUCUUUGAUUUCCUCCAGGUGUCACCACUUUAUCCACAACAUCGUCCACGAUCGCAGAGACUUCGUCCAUGAUCGGAGAGACAUUGUUGAGGAUGAGGGAGACAUCGUCCAUGAUCAGAGACAUUGUCCAUGAUCGCAGAGACCUUGUCAAAGAUGAGAGAGACGUUGUCCGUGAUCAGAGACAUUGUCCCAUGCUUCGUAGAGACCUUGCGAUAGAAUCGGCGGAGACGGGGGUCACCGAUUUGACGGCACUGCCCGCGAUCAUGGAAACAUUUUUGAUGGUCACAGAGACACCGUCUAUGAUCUCAGAGACAUCGUCCACGAUCACAAAGACAUUGACCAUGAUCGCAGAGACUUUGUCCAUAAUCUCAGAGACAUUGUCCGCGAUCAAAGAGACGUAGUCCACGAUCACAGAAAGUCUUUGUACAAUGAAGUUCUUUGAGACCAGGACAGAGGCCUCCAGCUGAAUUCAGGGAACGGAAUCCACUAAAGGUGAAGGAGAUGACAGCAGCUGAAGACCUGAAGUGGAUGAAAGAAACAAAAGUGUUACAAAGCUGUUAAUUAGAUAAAAGACUAUUAAACACCUGUGAGAAUAUUUAACUGCUUAUGAUACAACUAUUUAAUUAAUGAUUCUAUCACAAGCAGUUAAAUGAUCACAUAGAUGCUCAGUAGACAUGUUCAUCUUUGGAAAAUGUGCUCAUAACUACAUUAACUCUAACCAGCAGUAACAAGUGUUUCCUUGUGUUCAACUGUCUGUCAUUAUCUUUGCUCUUUACUAAAUGUUGUAUGGAAUAAAAGUUUCUUCCUAAACUUUUGAGUUGCAUUUCUGUAUUUUGAAACUGAUAUACAAAUCAUUCUAUUGCAUUUUAAGAAAAAUGUUGUGAUUCAAACUUUUUGACAAUAAUUUUCCUAAGGUUUUAUAUUUAACUUCUUUAACACUCCUUAUUCAGAUAGUUUCAUAUUUACAUUUAAAACUAAACAUAUGUUUCAAAAGUUUUAAAUCUAUUUUUACAAGCUUUAUACUUUUUUAGACUUAUUUUUUAAGGUUGUAAAUAUAUAUAUAUUUUAGAUCUAUUUAUUUAAGGUUUUCAAUGUAUUUUUAAAUGAUUUUAUACUUUCUUUUUAGAUCUAUUUAUUUAAGGUUUUCAAUGUAUUUCUUAAAGGUUUUAUAUUUAUUUUAACAAAGGUUUCACAUUUAAUUUUUGUACAUUUUAUACUUAGUUUUUAGACAUUUUUUGAAUGCCUUAUACUUAAUACUUCAAUUUAUUUAUUAAAAGGGUUUCUAUUCUAAACUAAGGAUUAUAUAUAUAUUUAUAGUUAAACAUAGUUUUUAGUCUUAUCUUUGCAGCUACAUUGUUGGAAAAACGUAAUACUAAUUAAAACUGAUGUUACAGCAGCUUUAAUUUGUUGCUAUUUGUUCCAGACAAAGUUUUAAAG